AUUUAAAUAGUUUAAGAAAAAUAUUGAUUUGUGGAAUCAAUGAUGUAAUUACUUUACUUUAGAUA
rnacentral:tRNA from 1 species